UAUCAUUCUAUCAAAGAAGUGCAAUAACUAGAACCUGUGACCGUGAGGGAUCGCACGUUUGGGAAGAAUGCGUUUCUUGCAACCGCUGGCAAAUCAGUUUGUUUUGAGACGUCGGGGAGCGAGGACGAGUCUGCUCGGCCUUUGAAGAAACUCGUUCGACGCUUUCAAGAUUGGAGUCAUUUAAGUGGUCCUGAUCACCGGCAGGCUGGACACGACGACUGAGGGACGGAGACAGCGAACUUUGCGCUUCAUGCACGAACGUUGAUGCGUGGAUUAGAGAAGCCUAGAUUGCACUUUACACCUGGAUUACAAAAGCAACUUACGUCCAGCCGCUGUCGUGAAUGGGUGAGUCAGUCAUCCUCUGUGGUUGGUGUUACGUUCUGCGGAAGAAAUGGAAGUUGGGGAAGAACAGCAAUCCAAAGGUGUGGAAGAGAUAAAGAAGCGUGACCACAGAGCAGCUGCAACUGUGAAGGAGAGAUGCAGUGGUCAGCGUUCAUCCAUACACGUUGCGCCCAGUGUGUUCGGCGUUUGUGGGUCAUGACAAUGCACGCUCGCGAUGGACAAGCAUCACCCAUGAAAUGGAUGUAAUUUUCGAAUAAAGGUAUUUGUUUGUGA